rnacentral:rRNA from 2 species
GGGAGCAAACAGGAUUAGAUACCCUGGUAGUCCACGCCGUAAACGAUGUCGACUUGGAGGUUGUGCCCUUGAGGCGUGGCUUCCGGAGCUAACGCGUUAAGUCGACCGCCUGGGGAGUACGGCCGCAAGGUUAAAACUCAAAUGAAUUGACGGGGGCCCGCACAAGCGGUGGAGCAUGUGGUUUAAUUCGAUGCAACGCGAAGAACCUUACCUGGCCUUGACAUCCAGAGAACUUAGCAGAGAUGCUUUGGUGCCUUCGGGAACUCUGAGACAGGUGCUGCAUGGCUGUCGUCAGCUCGUGUUGUGAAAUGUUGGGUUAAGUCCCGCAACGAGCGCAACCCUUAUCCUUUGUUGCCAGCGGUUCGGCCGGGAACUCAAAGGAGACUGCCGGUGAUAAACCGGAGGAAGGUGGGGAUGACGUCAAGUCAUCAUGGCCCUUACGGCCAGGGCUACACACGUGCUACAAUGGCGCAUACAAAGAGAAGCGACCUCGCGAGAGCAAGCGGACCUCAUAAAGUGCGUCGUAGUCCGGAUUGGAGUCUGCAACUCGACUCCAUGAAGUCGGAAUCGCUAGUAAUCGUAGAUCAGAAUGCUACGGUGAAUACGUUCCCGGGCCUUGUACACACCGCCCGUCACACCAUGGGAGUGGGUUGCAAAAGAAGUAGGUAGCUUAACCUUCGGGAGG